rnacentral:rRNA from 1 species
AGAGUUUGAUCCUGGCUCAGGAUGAACGCUGGCGGCGUGCUUAACACAUGCAAGUCGAACGAAGCACUUCGGACAGAUUCUUCGGAUGAAGUCCUUAGUGACUGAGUGGCGGACGGGUGAGUAACACGUGGGUAACCUGCCUCAUACAGGGGGAUAACAGUUAGAAAUGGCUGCUAAUACCGCAUAAGCGCACAGUACCGCAUGGUACGGUGUGAAAAACUCCGGUGGUAUGAGAUGGACCCGCGUUGGAUUAGCUAGUUGGCAGGGUAACGGCCUACCAAGGCGACGAUCCAUAGCCGGCCUGAGAGGGUGGACGGCCACAUUGGGACUGAGACACGGCCCAGACUCCUACGGGAGGCGGCAGUGGGGAAUAUUGCACAAUGGGGGAAACCCUGAUGCAGCGACGCCGCGUGAGCGAAGAAGUAUUUCGGUAUGUAAACUCCUGUUGUUGGGGAAGAUAAUGACGGUACCCAACAAGGAAGUGACGGCUAACUACGUGCCAGCAGCCGCGGUAAAACGUAGGUCACAAGCGUUGUCCGGAAUUACUGGGUGUAAAGGGAGCGUAGACGGAGUGGCAAGUCUGAUGUGAAAACCCGGGGCUCAACCCCGGGACUGCAUUGGAAACUGUCAAUCUAGAGUACCGGAGAGGUAAGCGGAAUUCCUAGUGUAGCGGUGAAAUGCGUAGAUAUUAGGAGGAACACCAGUGGCGAAGGCGGCUUACUGGACGGUAACUGACGUUGAGGCUCGAAAGCGUGGGGAGCAAACAGAAUUAGAUACCCUGGUAGUCCACGCCGUAAA